CAGUAGCCACGGUAAUACGGAGGGUGCAAGCGUUAAUCGGAAUUACUGGGCGUAAAGCGCACGCAGGCGGUCUGACAAGUCAGAUGUGAAAUCCCCGGGCUUAACCUGGGAACUGCAUUUGAAACUGUCAGGCUGGAGUCUUGUAGAGGGGGGUGGAAUUCCAGGUGUAGCGGUGAAAUGCGUAGAGAUCUGGAGGAAUACCGGUGGCGAAGGCGGCCCCCUGGACGAAGACUGACGCUCAGGUGCGAAAGCGUGGGGAGCAAACAGGAUUAGAUACCCCUGUAGUCCCUGUCUCUUAUAC
rnacentral:rRNA from 1 species